GAGAGAGAGAAGGGUGAAAACCUUCUUCCAAACUAUCUAACACAAAAAUAUGCAAAUCAAAGGGGAAAAUCAAGGUUAUUCCCUUGCAUGUUGGAGAAUUUUGAUUAUCUAACAUCAAUCAAAUUUAAGAUAAGCAACUCAAGUGAUACACUGGGAGACAAAGUGGGAAAGGAUACUCAUCUCAAGGGAAAGCUUUAAGGUAAUACCCGUCUUAGGAAACCGGAUGGAAGAUCAAGCUGCGCAAAGAACCGAACACACUUUACAACUUUUUCUCUUCCGUGUUUUAGUUAAUUAUGUUUCUAAACUUAAAAUUUAAGGACAUAUACCUUGAAUUGAAUCAUAGCUAC